CCUCCUGCCUUGAAAGAAUAAAUUUGGCCAUGCCCUAGAAGGUAGCAUAAGGGCCUAGUGGGCUUCAGUGCAGGCUUCAAGGUGCCCAGGAGCAGAUGUCAGCACAGGAACAAGGGCUGUUUUCUUACCGGAGAAGUGGGGUUUUUUUUUCUCAUGACCACGACUACUCCCCUGGACUAAUCACCCAAGUCUGCAACCAGGAAAUAAAGAUGGAGGAACAAAAGACCAGAUGGGAGCAAUCGGUCUAAGGCACUUCCAUGCUCCCCACACUUUGUCUUCACCAGCAUGUUCUGCAAGUUGUUUGAGCAGCCAGAGCCCAUGUGGGGGUCUUUAUCCUGGUUUUUAGCCCUGGCCCUGAGGAAGGAGUGUGGUGUCUCUGCUCCCUUCAUGGAGACCCAGAGUUCCCACCAUGGCACAGGAGAGCAGUCUCUAAUGCUUCCCUCCACAUCCUUAGUUCUGCUGGCAAAACUUCCUGUGAAAAGGAGAGAGCGUGCUAUGAAGGACAUUCGCUAAAUGAGAGCUGAUUUAGUGGUUAUGGCAGUGGUGUCCACGUACUGUACGGCUGGCAAAUUUCAAUCUAAACUCCACGAUUCUGGAUGCAGCAAAAAGUGCACGUGGAUGAGAGACUAUUUCUGAAAGCCUGGAUACCUUUAAUUUUUUUUCCUCCUUUAAUAAAAGA